UUAAAUUGAAGAGUUUGAUCAUGGCUCAGAUUGAACGCUGGCGGCAGGCCUAACACAUGCAAGUCGAGCGGUAGCACAGAGAGCUUGCUCUCGGGUGACGAGCGGCGGACGGGUGAGUAAUGUCUGGGAAACUGCCUGAUGGAGGGGGAUAACUACUGGAAACGGUAGCUAAUACCGCAUAAUGUCGCAAGACCAAAGUGGGGGACCUUCGGGCCUCAUGCCAUCAGAUGUGCCCAGAUGGGAUUAGCUAGUAGGUGGGGUAACGGCUCACCUAGGCGACGAUCCCUAGCUGGUCUGAGAGGAUGACCAGCCACACUGGAACUGAGACACGGUCCAGACUCCUACGGGAGGCAGCAGUGGGGAAUAUUGCACAAUGGGCGCAAGCCUGAUGCAGCCAUGCCGCGUGUGUGAAGAAGGCCUCGGGUUGUAAAGCACUUUCAGCGGGGAGGAAGGCGUUAAGGUUAAUAACCUUGGCGAUUGACGUUACCCGCAGAAGAAGCACCGGCUAACUCCGUGCCAGCAGCCGCGGUAAUACGGAGGGUGCAAGCGUUAAUCGGAAUUACUGGGCGUAAAGCGCACGCAGGCGGUCUGUCAAGUCGGAUGUGAAAUCCCCGGGCUCAACCUGGGAACUGCAUUCGAAACUGGCAGGCUAGAGUCUUGUAGAGGGGGGUAGAAUUCCAGGUGUAGCGGUGAAAUGCGUAGAGAUCUGGAGGAAUACCGGUGGCGAAGGCGGCCCCCUGGACAAAGACUGACGCUCAGGUGCGAAAGCGUGGGGAGCAAACAGGAUUAGAUACCCUGGUAGUCCACGCCGUAAACGAUGUCGAUUUGGAGGUUGUGCCCUUGAGGCGUGGCUUCCGGAGCUAACGCGUUAAAUCGACCGCCUGGGGAGUACGGCCGCAAGGUUAAAACUCAAAUGAAUUGACGGGGGCCCGCACAAGCGGUGGAGCAUGUGGUUUAAUUCGAUGCAACGCGAAGAACCUUACCUGGUCUUGACAUCCACAGAACUUUCCAGAGAUGGAUUGGUGCCUUCGGGAACUGUGAGACAGGUGCUGCAUGGCUGUCGUCAGCUCGUGUUGUGAAAUGUUGGGUUAAGUCCCGCAACGAGCGCAACCCUUAUCCUUUGUUGCCAGCGGUCCGGCCGGGAACUCAAAGGAGACUGCCAGUGAUAAACUGGAGGAAGGUGGGGAUGACGUCAAGUCAUCAUGGCCCUUACGACCAGGGCUACACACGUGCUACAAUGGCAUAUACAAAGAGAAGCGACCUCGCGAGAGCAAGCGGACCUCAUAAAGUAUGUCGUAGUCCGGAUUGGAGUCUGCAACUCGACUCCAUGAAGUCGGAAUCGCUAGUAAUCGUAGAUCAGAAUGCUACGGUGAAUACGUUCCCGGGCCUUGUACACACCGCCCGUCACACCAUGGGAGUGGGUUGCAAAAGAAGUAGGUAGCUUAACCUUCGGGAGGGCGCUUACCACUUUGUGAUUCAUGACUGGGGUGAAGUCGUAACAAGGUAACCG
rnacentral:rRNA from 1 species